rnacentral:rRNA from 1 species
AUUGAACGCUGGCGGCAGGCCUAACACAUGCAAGUCGAGCGCGCGCCGGCCGGGUGAGUAAUGUAUGGGGAUCUGCCCGCUAGAGGGGGAUAACUCUAGUAAAAGGUAGGUAUUAUCGCGUACUCUCGGAUGAGCCCACAUGGGAUUAGCUAGUAGGUGAGGUAUUGGCUCACAUGGGCGACGAGCCCUCGCGGGUCUGAGAGGAGGACCAGCCACACUGGAACUGAGACACGGCCCAGACUCCUACGGGAGGCAGCAGUGGGGAAUAUUGCACAAUGGGCGCAAGCCUGAUGCAGCCAUGCGGCGUGUGUGAAGAAGGCCUUCGGGUUGUAAAGCACUUUCAGCGAGGAGGCGUUACUCGCAGAAGAAGCACCGGCUAACUCCGUGCCAGCAGCCGCGGUAAUAC